AUUGAACGCUGGCGGCAGGCCUAACACAUGCAAGUCGAACGGUAACAGGAAGAAGCUUGCUUCUUUGCUGACGAGUGGCGGACGGGUGAGUAAUGUCUGGGAAACUGCCUGAUGGAGGGGGAUAACUACUGGAAACGGUAGCUAAUACCGCAUAACGUCGCAAGACCAAAGAGGGGGACCUUCGGGCCUCUUGCCAUCGGAUGUGCCCAGAUGGGAUUAGCUUGUUGGUGGGGUAACGGCUCACCAAGGCGACGAUCCCUAGCUGGUCUGAGAGGAUGACCAGCCACCCUGGAACUGAGACACGGUCCAGACUCCUACGGGAGGCAGCAGUGGGGAAUAUUGCACAAUGGGCGCAAGCCUGAUGCAGCCAUGCCGCGUGUAUGAAGAAGGCCUUCGGGUUGUAAAGUACUUUCAGCGGGGAGGAAGGGAGUAAAGUUAAUACCUUUGCUCAUUGACGUUACCCGCAGAAGAAGCACCGGCUAACUCCGUG
rnacentral:rRNA from 1 species